UCUUUCCUAUGAUGAGUUGCUAACUGUAUUGCCUACAUUGUUUGAUCAAUCUUAUGAGAAACUUCUGCAACGUCUGAGGAUGGA